UAAUAUCGGAUAACGCAUAUGUGCUGGAAUGCUUUAUGCGUAAAACGGAUUCGUCCGCCCAAGGAUGGGUCUGCGGCCUAUCAGGUAGUAGUGGGUGUAAUGUACCUACUAGCCAACAACGGGUACGGGUUGUGAGAGCGAGAGCCCGGAGAUGGAUUCUGAGACACGAAUCCAGGCCCUACGGGGCGCAGCAGUCGCGAAAACUUCACAAUGGGGGCAACCCCGAUGAGGGAAUUCCUAGUGCUAGCACAAUUGUGUUAGCUUUUCUCUAGCGUAGAUAACUGGAGGAAUAAGGGCUGGGAAAGACGGGUGCCAGCCGCCGCGGUAAUACCUGCAGCCCAAGUGGUGGUCGAUUUUAUUGAGUCUAAAACGUUCGUAGCCGGUUCGAUAAAUCUUUGGGUAAAUCGGGGGGCUCAACCUUCCGACUUCCGAGGAGACUGUCGAACUUGGGACCGGGAGAGGCUAGAGGUACUUCUGGGGUAGGGGUAAAAUCCUGUAAUCCUAGAAGGACCACCGGUGGCGAAGGCGUCUAGCUAGAACGGAUCCGACGGUGAGGGACGAAGCCCUGGGUCGCAAACGGGAUUAGAUACCCCGGUAGUCCAGGGUGUAACGCUGCAGACUUGGUGU
rnacentral:rRNA from 1 species